rnacentral:rRNA from 1 species
CGAGUCUGAAUAGGGCGAUAGUCGCUGGGAGUAGACCCGAAACCGGGCGAUCUAGCCAUGUGCAGGAUGAAGGUUGGGUAACACCAACUGGAGGUCCGAACCGGGUAAUGUUGAAAAAUUAUCGGAUGACGUGUGGCUAGGAGUGAAAGGCUAAUCAAGCCCGGAGAUAGCUGGUUCUCCCCGAAAGCUAUUUAGGUAGCGCCUCGUGAAUGAUUACUGGGGGUAGAGCACUGUUUCGGCUAGGGGGCUGUCAUGGCUUACCAAACCGAUGCAAACUCCGAAUACCGGCUAAUUGAAUCACGGGAGACACACGGCGGGUGCUAACGUCCGUCGUGGAGAGGGAAACAACCCAGACCGCCAGCUAAGGUCCCCAAGUACUAGUUAAGUGGGAAACGAUGUGGGAAGGCAUAGACAGCCAGGAGGUUGGCUUAGAAGCAGCCACCCUUUAAAGAAAGCGUAAUAGCUCACUGGUCGAGUCGGCCUGCGCGGAAGAUGUAACGGGGCUAAAACUAGUCACCGAAGCUGCGGAUGUGCGCGAAGGCGCACGUGGUAGGGGAGCGUUCUGUAAGCUGAUGAAGGUGCAUUGAGAAGUGUGCUGGAGGUAUCAGAAGUGCGAAUGCUGACAUGAGUAACGAUAAUGUGGGUGAAAAGCCCACACGCCGGAAGUCCCAGGUUUCCUGCACGACGUUAAUCGGAGCAGGGUGAGUCGGCCCCUAAGGCGAGGCUGAAGAGCGUAGUCGAUGGGAACCAGGUUAAUAUUCCUGGACUUUUUAUAAGUGGUGAAGUGGGGACGAAGAAGGCUAGGUGAGCCAGGCGUUGGUU